UACGUAGGGCGCAAGCGUUGUCCGGAAUUAUUGGGCGUAAAGAGCUCGUAGGCGGCCUGUUGCGUCCGCUGUGAAAUCCCGGGGCUUAACCCCGGGUCUGCAGUGGAUACGGGCAGGCUAGAGGCAGGCAGGGGAGAACGGAAUUCCCGGUGUAGCGGUGAAAUGCGCAGAUAUCGGGAGGGACACCGGUGGCGAAGGCGGUUCUCUGGGCCUGUUCUGACGCUGAGGAGCGAAAGCGUGGGGAGCAAACAGG
rnacentral:rRNA from 1 species